rnacentral:rRNA from 1 species
AUGGCAGAGCUGAAAGCACAGUGUGAGGAUGCUUGGAAAUGGCUUAAAAAUAUAGAGGUCUCUGCUUGGGCUAGGUAUGCUAUGGACCAUACUUGCAAAACAGAUCUAGUUGUGAACAACCUUAGUGAAGUCUUCAACAAGAUGAUACUUGAUGUUAGAUCCAAACCAAUAAGGACAAUGUUUGAAGGGAUCAGGACAAAGCAGAUGAUCAAGAGGCAACAGACUAGGGAGAAGUUACAGACUUGCAGGUGGACAAUCACACCAAAUUACUCAGAGAUUCUUGAGGAGAAUAAAAAAUAUGCCAAGUACUGCCAGGCUGACAGAGCUGGUGAAACAAUUUGGCAAGUAACAAGCAAAGAAAAGCAAUAUUGUGUGGACAUGGCAACCUGCACAUGUGACUGCAAGAGAUGGAACAUGACAGGUGUACCUUGCAGUCAUGGCAUAUCUGCAAUGACAAAGCAGAAGCUGCAUCCUGAGGACUAUGUGUCUGAAUUCUUCAAGAAGCCAUUGUACAUGGAGACAUACAAAGCAAUUAUUUACCCUGUCCCUGGUCCAGAUUGCUGGCCUGAUACAAACACUCAAGACAUUCAUCCUCCUGUGUUUAAAGAAAAGGCAGGCAAAAAGCAGACAACAAGGAGGAAGGGAGAGUUUGAAGUUCCAGCUCCAAGAGACACAAGUAGGAUGGGCACUAUCACAUGUGGAAACUGUGGUUUGGAAGGACAUAGGUAUACAACAUGCAACAAGACUCUGAAGCCUAGUCUUCAGAUGAGGAAAAACAAACACCAGGUAAUAAGCAAGCUUGGAAAAAACAUCAAACACUUUUGA